rnacentral:rRNA from 1 species
CCCUUAGAUGUUCUGGGCCGCACGCGCGCUACACUGACGAAUGCAACGAGCUUAUAACCUUGGCCGAAAGGUCUGGGUAAUCUCCAAAUUUCGUCGUGAUGGGGAUAGAUUAUUGCAAUUAUUAAUCUUCAACGAGGAAUGCCUAGUAAGCGCAAGUCAUCAGCUUGCGUUGAUUACGUCCCUGCCCUUUGUACACACCGCCCGUCGCUCCUACCGAUUGAAUGGUCCGGUGAAGCGCUCGGACCGCGGCCUCUUGACGGUUCGCUGUCGAUUGGCUGUGGGAAGUUCGUUAAACCUUAUCAUUUAGAGGAAGGAGAAGGCGUAACA